UGCGCAGGCGGUUAUGUAAGACAGAUGUGAAAUCCCCGGGCUCAACCUGGGAACUGCAUUUGUGACUGCAUGGCUAGAGUACGGUAGAGGGGGAUGGAAUUCCGCGUGUAGCAGUGAAAUGCGUAGAUAUGCGGAGGAACACCGAUGGCGAAGGCAAUCCCCUGGACCUGUACCGACGCUCAUGCACGAAGCGUGGGGAGCAAACA
rnacentral:rRNA from 1 species